rnacentral:rRNA from 1 species
GACGAACGCUGGCGGCGUGCUUAACACAUGCAAGUCGAACAGUGGCGAACGGGUGAGUAACACGUGAGUAACCUGCCCUCCACUUUGGGAUAACUCCGAGAAAUCGGGGCUAAUACUGGACAGUGGGGGAUGGGGUCGCGGCCUAUCAGUUUGUUGGUUGGGUAGUGGUCACCAAGGCGUGACGGGUAGCCGGCCUGAGAGGGGGACCGGCCACACUGGGACUGAGACACGGCGCAGACUGCGACGGGAGGCAGCAGUGGGGAAUAUUGCAAAAUAGGCGAAAGCCUAAUGCAGCGACGCCGCGUGGGGGAUGACGGCCUUCGGGUUGUAAACCUCUUUCAGCAAGGAAGCGGUACUUGCAGAAGAAGCGCCGGCUAACUACGUGCAAGCAGCCGCGGUAAUAC